rnacentral:lncRNA from 1 species
CAAUCCUGGGAAGUAGGUGCUAUUAUUAUCUCCAUUUUAUUGUUGAUGAACUUGAGGCAAACAGAGGUUAAGUGACUUGCCAAGAGUCACAUAGUAAAAAUAAUAAUUAUAACUAGAAGUUAUUCAGCAUUUAUUAUGUGCCUGGGACUGUACUAAAUGCAUUAAAAUUAUCUCUAAAAUUUUCCCAGGUAUUAAAGUGUCAGAGGGUCCUGGUUUCACAUCUGGCCUCAGACACUUCCUAGCUGUGUGACCCUGGGUAAGUCACUUGACCUCUAUUGCCUAGCCCUUACUACUCUUCUGCCUUGGAACCAAUCCCAGUAUUGAUUCCAAGAUGGAAGAUGAGGGUUUAAAAAAUAAAAUGUCAGAGGUAGGGUUUGAACCUAUGCCUUUUGCCCUCAGAAUUAAUGCUUUGUGGAAAUUGAUGGUUGAAUUGAUUAACCCAUCUAUAAAACCAAAAACUGACAGAUCUAGACCUAAAAACAACACUGGGGGUGUUACAUUUUAGGUGGAGAUAGUCCUCUUAUCCAUGUUUAGAGUUGGGGACUUUGACAAAUUGAAAAGAGUUGAAAUUCAAGGUUUUCCACAAAGGACAGCUUUGGGGAAUGCUGAAACUCUAGCUAAAUACAAAAGAACUCCCAAGCUGUAGGCUAAGGCAGAAGUCCGUUAAUUCGAUGGAUGGGAGACCAAGUGUGAAACAGUCACAGUGUGCAUGGAAGAAAAAUGGAGGGUUCACUUGGCACUCAUACUCUGUCAUAAUAGAAAUGGUACCCUUUAAAGGAUUAUGGUGUCUUUAAAGGAUUACAGAAUAAUGAUGCAGUUCCUUUAAGAAAAUGUUGUCUGGCUAUAAAUCGUGAGACUAGAGAUGGUGCCAGUGUUGAACACAAUUCUCUCCUCCCUAGAUAGAGGUUUGCACAGUGUUCAGGGCGUGGCCCUGUGUGCCUUGGGUACUCUCCGGAAAGGCUACAAGAGGAUGAAUCUUUUGUCCUUCAAUGGGGGCUGCACGGUGAUCAGGCAAAAUGGAGAUAGUUCUUUUUUUCUGAUGAUGACAAAGAACUGGAAAUUGAAGGCAUAACUAUCAACUGGGGAAUGGCUCAACAAGUUGUGGCAUAUGAUUGUGAUGGACUUCUACUGCACUGUAAGAAAUGAUGAGCACUUUACUUUUUUGAAAAACACGGAAAUACCUACAUGAAAUUAUGAAGAGUGAAAUAAACAGAACCAAGAGAAGAUUAUAUAUAGCA